AAGCACGGGGCAGUUAACUUUCCUAUGACAUUUACUUCCUAAAUAUGAUUAGGCUAUAGUUAACUACAUUGCCUAGAAAUAAAUAUUGAUCACCCAUAUUUGGAUACUGAAUGCUGAUUGGCUAAAACAGCAUUUAGCUGUGUGUGAGACGGUAUACCAUGACUAUGACUGUUUAGGCUUGUCACCUCGAUAAAAUGGCAACAUCAACAACAGUUCGACAUGUCGAUGUAGAAAAUAAGCCUUUAUAUCAACUUGAUAGAAACCGAAACAAACUAAAUGGGCACUUGCCUGCUUCACAGAACAUGGGAUACAUUGUGACUUUGGGAAUACAACAAAGACGCAACCGAACGUCAUUCUAUGAUACUUUCAUGGUUUUGUGAGAAACAUGUAUGGCGAAGAAUAUAGGAUUAGCAGCUACAUUACGUUGAACUCGGAGCUGGUUUGAACCGACUUGUCAACGACCCCURUUAGUCUGGCAUGGAGUAUACAGAAGGACACCAAAUUCACAGCGAGCAACAAUGUGUCUGUCUGCGUAAUUAAAAAGUUGAGGAAAGAGGGGCGGGACAAAGCUGCCUACCAGUGAACUGAUACAUAUGUACACAAAAGACGAGCCGAUGGGAGUGACCACCCUCACCCCUGCYAAAUAGCAGUCCCGUCGCAGAUUUAAACAAACCACUGCCUCCGAACCACCAUGAUCCAGAAACUGUCGGAUGCUCAAUGGCGACCCGUCAUUGUUUUGAGCGCCACACUUUUUGUGCGGUUGCUUGACUAGAGGCGCGAGGAAUACUCUGUCAAGAGGACACAGAUUCGCAACCUCUCUUCAACAUUACUGGAGGCCAAAUCUGGAAGCAUUAUUCUCAGACAGCACAGCAGCAGCUCCCCCAGCUAAAAUAACGGCUUCCAUUUCCAGCAGCGUGGAGACAACAACAAACGAUAACAUGGGACCAUUUUUUUCAUUUGUACACAAUAAAUAGCAACAUUCAGAUCAACAUGAAUACAUCAUUUGAAUGUGUUGGUCACUUUAGAAGUGGCGCUAAUGCUCGGUUUUUGCCUACAUUUAAUGUAAGCUUGUUAAGCUAGCCUGUGGUUGUUGCAUAGUAAUGAGACUUUUGUCCGGACUACUUUUUCUGGCGGAAUUGAUUUAUUAAAGCAACAUUUUCAAUUUAGA